rnacentral:rRNA from 1 species
UGGGGAAUAUUGCGCAAUGGGCGAAAGCCUGACGCAGCGACGCCGCGUGGGUGAUGAAGGCCUUCGGGUCGUAAAGCCCUGUCGGGAGGGAAGAAAUCUCGCCGUUCGAAUAGGGCGGCGACUUGACGGUACCUCCUAAGGAAGCACCGGCUAACUCCGUGCCAGCAGCCGCGGUAAUACGGAGGGUGCAAGCGUUGUUCGGAAUCACUGGGCGUAAAGCGCGUGUAGGCGGCGUUCUAAGUCUGAUGUGAAAGCCCGGGGCUCAACCCCGGAAGUGCAUCGGAUACUGGGAGGCUAGAGUACCGGAGAGGAGGGUGGAAUUCCUGGUGUAGCGGUGAAAUGCGUAGAUAUCAGGAGGAACACCGGUGGCGAAGGCGGCCCUCUGGACGGAUACUGACGCUGAGACGCGAAAGCGUGGGGAGCAAACAGG